CAUAUAGUACAUAUCGCUCAUUUACUUCAACAGUGUCAUAACUCAAAAAACUGAUUUUUUGAGUUAAAUACAAAAAAAUGUGCUCAAUAUCAUGGUUAAUAUUGUAUAAAAAAUUCUGUGUGAUUAGUAGAAAAUUGAACGCGUGAGAUGAAAAAGUGCCGUUAUUCCACUUGUUGUGACGCGUCAAAUUUUUGCUACAGCAUCGACACAUUUCAAUUUAACAUGAGUCGUCGUCGUGUAAAGAUUAUUAGUUUUUCCGAAAAAAACGAUAUAUUUUGUGUUACAGCGAUUUAUGUGAAAAGCUUACUUGGAAAUGUCAUUAUCCAAAAAUAAUUGCGGAUCUUCUACAUCAUUGUUCUCAGAAGAUAGUGACAAUUCCAUAGUUGAUGUGACAUACUUCCCAGUUUCUGCUAACGAUUCCAGUGAUAGUGUCUACGGCAAUGAUGAAGAUAACCCACCACAUCCGACCACGGUAAACAGCAUAAUUUAUGAUAACUGCUUCGAGGAAGAUUCUCCAGAUCUAGAAUUAUGUACGCCAGUACCUGAACAAAACUCCUUUGAUCUGCAACCAAGCACAUCAACUUCAAACAUAAACAAUUCUUCCACCAUUCUUGUUAGUCCGGCGAUGAAAAAAAAAAGAGGAAGCAGCCAGAAAAUUGGAAGAAAAAUAUGUAUUGUAAAAAAAAGAGAAA